rnacentral:lncRNA from 1 species
AAGAUCAUUUGAUCUUAAAUUUCAGAGUACUCUGCAAAGUCCCAUUAUUUAAGAACAUGCCUUUUUCCAAUAGAAUAAGAACAUUAACGCAGUUUCAUUAUUUUAUCUUCCUUCCUUCGUUUGCGAGAAAAACAGAGUGUGUUUCCUAAGAAAAUUUACCAUGCGAUCACUUAUUUCUCCGUCUUAUUCCAGUUCGUCUUCUACUUCUUCUUAUUCACUCGCUGCAACGAUAU